rnacentral:rRNA from 1 species
UACAGAGGUCUCAAGCGUUGUUCGGAUUCAUUGGGCGUAAAGGGCGCGUAGGCGGUGGGGUAAGUCUGGUGUGAAAUCUCGGGGCUCAACUUCGAAAUUGCACUGGAUACUGCUCUGCUAGAGGGCUGGAGAGGAGAUCGGAAUUCACGGUGUAGCAGUGAAAUGCGUAGAUAUCGUGAGGAAGACCAGUGGCGAAGGCGGAUCUCUGGACAGCUCCUGACGCUGAGGCGCGAAAGCGUGGGGAGCAAACAGG